rnacentral:rRNA from 1 species
UACGUAGGGUGCGAGCGUUAAUCGGAAUUACUGGGCGUAAAGCGUGCGCAGGCGGUUCGUUGUGUCGGCGGUGAAAGCCCCGGGCUCAACCUGGGAAUGGCCGUUGAAACUGGCGAACUGGAGUGUGGCAGAGGGGGGUGGAAUUCCGCGUGUAGCAGUGAAAUGCGUAGAGAUGCGGAGGAACACCGAUGGCGAAGGCAGCCCCCUGGGCUAACACUGACGCUCAGGCACGAAAGCGUGGGGAGCAAACAG